rnacentral:rRNA from 1 species
GGGGGACAACCAUUGGAAACGAUGGCUAAUACCGCAUAAUGUCUACGGACCAAAGGGGGCUUCCGCUCUCGCCUUUAGAUUGGCCCAAGUGGGAUUAGCUAGUUGGUGAGGUAAAGGCUCACCAAGGCGACAAUCCCUAGCUGGUUUGAGAGGAUGAUCAGCCACACUGGAACUGAGACACGGUCCAAACUCCUACGGGAGGCAGCAGUGGGGAAUAUUGCACAAUGGGCGCAAGCCUGAUGCAGCCAUGCCGCGUGUGUGAAGAAGGCCUUCGGGUUGUAAAGCACUUUCAGUCAGGAGGAAAGGUUAAUAGUUAAUACCUGCUAGCGGUGACGUUACUGACAGAAAAAGCACCGGCUAACUCCGUGCCAGCAGCCGCGGUAAUACGGAGGGUGCGAGCGUUAUU